UUCCGGUUGAUCCCGCCGGACCCCACUGCUAUCGAGAUGGGACUAAGGUAUGCUAGUCGAACGACCAGAACUAUGUCUGGGAGUGGCACACUGCUCAGUAACACGUAGCUAACCUACCCUUAGGACGUGGAUACCCCCGAGAAAUUGGGGUUAAUCCGCGAUAGAUGUAAUGUCCUGGAAUGGUAUUACGUCUAAAGGUAUUUCAUACAUGUUUGAAAUAUGCCUAAGGAUGGGGCUGCGGCCGAUCAGGCUGUUGGUGAGGUAAUGGCUCACCAAACCUUUGACCGGUACGGGCCAUGAGAGUGGUAGCCCGGAGAUGGACACUGAGACAAGGGUCCAGGCCCUAAGGGGCGCAGCAACCGCGAAACCUCCACAAUGCACUCACGUGUGAUGGGGCUAUCUCGAGUGCCACCUGAUGAAGGUGGCUUUUCCUUGGUCUUCAAAGCCUUGGGAAUAAGAGGGGGGCAAGACUGGUGUCAGCCGCCGCGGUAACACCAGCCCCUCGAGUGGUGGGGAUGAUUAUUUGGCCUAAAGCGUCCGUAGCCGGCCGUGAAAGUCUUCCGUUAAAUCCAGCGUCUCAAGCGUUGGACCGCGGGAGAUACUACAUGGCUAGAGAGUGGGAGAGGUCAGCGGUAUUCUGGGGGUAGGGGCGAAAUCCUUUGAUCCCCGGAGGACCACCAGUGGCGAAGGCUGCUGACUAGAACACGUCUGACGGUCAGGGACGAAAGCUGGGGUAGCGAACCGGAUUAGAUACCCGGGUAGUCCCAGCCGUAAACGAUGCAUGCUAGGUGUUGGGUUGGCCACGAGCCACCCCAGUGCCGCAGGG
rnacentral:rRNA from 1 species